CUUUAAGCACAGCUCGCGGAGUUGGCACGAAACGAGCCGAUCAGCGGUCGCAGCACCCGCUGCAAGAGCUCCGCGGCGCGUCGACAGCGACGGCUGGGAACGGGAAGGACCCUAUGGGGUCCUCACUAAAGGAUGGAUCUGUCUAUGGUGAAUUCCUUUUCGGAGCUCCAGAUAACUCCAUUCCACACCUUGUUUUCUUGGAUGCAAAGGAAUCGUUCGCAGCGUCGCACCUGCCGUAGCGAAUAUUAGCUCACUCGUCAGAAUCCUGGAGAAGAAAUAGGAUAAUAAAUCCAGCAGGCAAUCGCUUAGACGAGCCCUGCCGUUCUUGGCGGGAAAAAUGAAUUUCAACAAUUUUCCGCACUCUGGCUGCCAUGGCACUGCUCAGGCAUGUAUGUCCUAUCCAGACUGUGGGCCAAGUUCCCUGGAACCAAAUAAGCACACAGCUGUGGCAAGAAGCUUCUGACUGCCUGUCAUCUUUCUCUGAGGCAGCCUGUUCUGCUGAGCAGGUACUUAUUCUUCAUCAAGAGGCUUCUGAUGACAGAGAUCCUGUGCAGAAACUCCUAGCUCGGCAAUUUGUCUUUGUAUAUUCCUCCAAAGCAGAGCUUAAGAGAAGUGAAGAGAUGGAUAGUAAGAAGUCAGAAGCUGUGGUUACUCUC
rnacentral:lncRNA from 1 species